rnacentral:misc_RNA from 1 species
AAGAAGAAGAAGCAGCAGCAGCCAGCAUGAGUUCCAAAAACUAAAGUGAAUCCACCAAUUAAAGGUAAUGUUCGCAUCUAUUGUUAGUCUUUUUCACAGGAUUCUUUUUUAUUUUUAAGGACUGUUUUGGUCUUUGGUCCAUUCAAACUUUUGCUAAAACUGCAUGAGAUGAGAUUCUUCUUAGUCUCGUGGCAAUCAAAAUACAAAAGGAAAAGGGCCAACAACUACAUAUGGGUACUCUGUAUUCUUUUCAAAGUGACAAAAAUCAAAAGAGAAUGCUCUCUACUCCA